rnacentral:lncRNA from 13 species
UGAACUCUAUACAACUUACCAAAAACCAUAGUUAAUAGUCACUAGGAGCACAGACGUGUGAAAUAAUAUGCUUUUGAAAACUUAUUAAGUAUAACAGUGACCAUGAUCUCUCCCAGAAAUGCAUUUUGGGGUUCACUCAGCUAAUUUGAAGGUCUCGAAGCCCAUCUGAUUGCUUGUGAUUAGGAACAGGAUAUUUGUGCCACUUACUGGUGAACUGUGGGAAGAAGAUCAGCUCCUCAGGCAGCUCAAGAAAAGUCUCCAGACAAAGUCUCUCAGUGUCACCUGAAUGUGGAAAAGUUGAGUUUGAGCGA